AUUGAACGCUGGCGGCAUGCUUUACACAUGCAAGUCGAACGGUAACAGGUUAAGCUGACGAGUGGCGAACGGGUGAGUAAUGCAUCGGAACGUGCCCGGUCGUGGGGGAUAACGCAGCGAAAGCUGCGCUAAUACCGCAUACGAUCUGAGGAUGAAAGCGGGGGACCGUAGGGCCUCGCGCGAUCGGAGCGGCCGAUGUCAGAUUAGGUAGUUGGUGGGGUAAAGGCUCACCAAGCCAACGAUCUGUAGCUGGUCUGAGAGGACGACCAGCCACACUGGGACUGAGACACGGCCCAGACUCCUACGGGAGGCAGCAGUGGGGAAUUUUGGACAAUGGGCGAAGGCCUGAUCCAGCAAUGCCGCGUGGAGGAAGAAGGCCUUCGGGUUGUAAACUGCUUUUGUACGGAGCGAAAAGGUCUCCUCUAAUACAGGGGGCUCAUGACGGUACCGUAAGAAUAAGCACCGGCUAACUACGUGCCAGCCGCCGCGGUAA
rnacentral:rRNA from 1 species